rnacentral:snRNA from 1 species
AUCCUUGCACAGGGGCAAUACCUUCAGCAGUGAAGUCUCGACUGAGCUAAGGUUAUUGACUAAUUGAAAACUUACCAAUUACCCGUGGUGGGGCCACUGGCCACACCCAAUUUUUGGCACCCUCUCACUAUGAGA